rnacentral:tRNA from 1 species
UGGGGUGUGGCCAAGUGGUAAGGCAGCGGUUUUUGGUACCGCUAUUCGGAGGUUCGAAUCCUUCCACCCCAG